rnacentral:lncRNA from 1 species
CUGAACAGAAGCCAAAGUUAGAAGCGCUAGAGAAAGUUUUGUGAUAAUAGUUUCAAUUUGUUUCUCUUUAGAGGUUUUCCUCGGGGCCGGUUCCUCUCUCAGCACACAGCAGACUGCAGGAGAGACGUGUGAGAAGAAAGAGAGCGCGAGAAGGUUAUGAUGUAACGUUGGACCCAGUAAACGGGGGGAUGUGGUGUAUGGGGUUAACUUGUGACAACAUAGAUCUGGAGGUCAGUCGGUUGAAAUACUGUUUCCCAAAGUCAUCAGCUUGAAGAACUUACGG